rnacentral:sRNA from 1 species
UUUUGCGCCUGCCGGAUGGGUGGAUAAAUGGAGGACUUGUAAAACAGUUGGAAAAAUCGUCUCUAAGCUAUGUUAACUGGGGGUUCGUCUGGGUUCCUUGGCUCGCAUCAAAAGGAGUGGAGCUGUUUAGUUUAAAUGCCACUUCAAAGACUGUUCCAACGCAGUGUAAAUUUUUUUUGCUAAUUUUAUUAAAAUUUCAUUUAACUAAAUUGCAAAUGUUUCUUCUUGCGGCCUGGCCUCUUGCUGCUUGCUGUUCUGUUGAAUGUUUCUUUAAUUUUUUUUCGACUGUCGGGCUCUGCUCUGUGCAAAAAUCAACUGUUCGACUCGCGGCGACGACGACUACGAUGACUAUGACUACGCCGGCGAAGAGAGAGAACAUGGCCGGAGAGCUACAGAGAGAUAGAGAGAAAGAGAGAGCAUGGCCGAGAGCGCCGACGCCAAUGUUUCCACCGAUUCCUAGCUGCAUUUCGCGAAGCUUUUCUCUUGAGAUUGCCCCCUUAAGCCCCUAAGCCCCCAAACCCCCAGAAAGAAAAGGUGCUAUUUGCGUGCUACAGUACGAGUACUCUCGAUAUUGGUUCAUUACUCAUGCGAUUACGUUAUGGCCCGACUAUGUGUAUCAAUAAUGGAGUUAAGACUAAAACUGGACGAAAAGGCUGCAUAAAUCAAUAAACAGAAUGACGCGUAUCAUAAUUAUCUAAUUGCUGCAGUUUGUCAGCCACUGGGCCAGCCUCCGUUGCCAUGUUGCAUAACGUGCAACCACUUACAUAAUCGGUCCUUGGACCGCGAUAAAGCUGAAGGCGGCACCUACCAAAAACAAGGUCAAAAGUUCAAGGACUGAGAAAAGCUCUCGCCCACGAAGAGCAGCGCAGGCGGCGGAGCGAAAGCAUCUGCGUCAAGCGGAAGUCCUCCAGGUUUAUGUGUUUGUGGGUGCGGAAAUGAAUGCGACUGUGUGUAUAUGUGUGAGUUGAUGUUUUGGUUGUGUAACAGAAGCUAAAGGAAUUGCUACCUUCCUAACUUCCUAACAGCAUUCGAAAUGAAUUAUAUUUGCAUUUUAAUUUUGUUUAACUUUUUUUUUAUUGAUUUUUUAAGUGAAUGCAUUUUGCUUGCUACGUAAUUGGUUUAUAAUUUGUUGCUGUCUUAAUGUUAAUGAUAUAUUUGCAUAUGCCACAAAAACUGUUGCUAGCCAUUUUUUGUUUUUGUUUUUAAGCUUUAAUAAAAUCUUUUUCAGAAAUCAUACAUGGCAAAUCAGUUUUCAAAUAAAAUGUUUUUACCCGUUUAUUUAAAGCCGAUCUAUGUGCAUAUUUUUAUUGGUUUUUGUGUGAGUAUUCGCUAAAUUUUAAUGUAAUUUAACAUUGGUUUCCAUUUCUCUGGAUAAAACAGAUUUAAUAUAAUUAAACGAAUUCGUUUUACUCUGCACGCUGGCUGCCUCUGCUUUACAAUCGUCUUCCUGCUAAGCCUAACUAUCGUACUACUCGAUCGGUGUCGAUCUGCUAAAUAUUAUAUCAUCGGGCCUCAUUCCUAACGGUCCUUCUUAUCAACAUCAUUAUCUUCAUCGUCGUUUUCUUGUUGUUCUUAACUCUCUUUUUAUUUUUAUUUUGUUUGGAAAAGUUGUUAACAUUCUUUUGUUGGUCGCACAUGUUUCGCAUUGGCUUUUUCUUGUUCUUUUGUUGUUGUUAUAAUUGUUCUUGUUUUUGUCUGUUGUUGUUGUUGUUGAAAUAGUUGUUGUUGUUUUUAGUGUUUGUGUGUUCUUCUUGUUUGCCUUCUUGUUUUUAUCACAGCUUUCUUCACUUUUGCUCUCAUAACUUUUAAGCAUAACUUGCAUAUAUGUACAUUUAUAAAUCUUGUUGUUAAUGCACGGCUGUUUUUUAAUCGUCUUUCUUUUCUUAUAUCAUUCCACCCCCCUGGAACACCCACUCCCUCAGCAUCGUAAGUGUAAGUGGUGUUUUCAUGCUCCUUCUGUAUAUAAGUUCACAUCGGGGGGCUACGUCUUAUAUACUCAUUUCAUAUACAUAUAUAACAUGCUUGCGCUUUCUUCUCGUUGGUGUUUUUCUCUCUCUUUCUCUUUCAUUCUGCUGUCAACACUUAUCUUAGACAUUGAUGUUACUGCAAUUGUUGAUUGCUGUUUGCUGCAUUUUUGUUGCUGCUGGCUAACAUAUAAAUUGCAUUUGCUUUGUGGUGUACAAUGAUUUACAUUUGUGGAAUGAUUUACAAAAAUUGGUUUUCUUCUCUCCUCUCGAAUUAAAAUUUAAAUACAAUAAAUGGCAUAUAAAAUAUAUAUAUAUAUUUUUGUUGUUGCAGUAAGUAUACAAAAAGAACGUUACGUUACGCACAGCAUGUACUCGUACAGCAGCGUUGUUGGAAGUGACUCUAGUGUAACACAAAAUUAUAAUACUCUUCAUACUUUACGUUGAUUGUAACUGAAUAAAUCCAUUGAUUGACGCACCGACCGAACGGCCGAACGACCGACCGAAUGACUGACCGGCAAUAAAGACUGAGAGAUUGAGUGGCUCGAUCAUUCACUAACUGGUCCCCUCAUUCGGUUCGAUUCGAUUCGGCUCGGCUCGGUUAACUACAUUCAAUUGUGUGCUGGAUGGCACUCUGGAUGUUAGUUCUUUUCGGAAGCAGCAUGACACUUUUAUCACAUUUGGUUGUUGUUUUUGUUGGUGUUGGUUGUCGCUUGGUUGUUGCGGUGUUGGUACUAGACUUAAAUUAACUACAGUUGUUGUUUAGCAUACAUACAUGCAUAGAUUGCUUGGUUUUCCCUUCCCUGUGAUUUACACCUCGAUUUACAAAUUAAUAUUUGCUAUUGCAAUCCAUAACAAAAACGAUUACAUGCAUAGGUUUACAGAUACAGAUACAUACAUACAAUAUAGAUGGUCGAUUGGAUAGUUUGUAAGAGUUGUCUUUGAGAUCGCAUUUGAAUUUUUUCGGCAUGUCCAAGAACUCGCUGCUCUGGUGCUGUCUCUCCCCUGCGUUGCGUUGCGUUGCUCCAACAAACAUAGCCAACGCACAUUUUGUCGUUCAGUCUUCUGUUUCAAUAGAUUUUGUUUUGUUUAGAUUGUUAAAUUUGAGCAAGUGCUUGCGUCUGUUGUUCUUGUUGUUUUUCUCUAAAUGCUCAACAUGAUCUUCAGGUACCAUUGUUGUUGUCGUUGUGGUUGUACUUGUUGUUCGGUGAGCAACAUUGGGAGCAGCAGCAGCUGCAGCAGCAUCUAUCGCCUUGAGCUUUGGACAAUACGCUGCUGUUUUGUGCAAACAUAGGUAAAAUAUAGUAGUACAUAUAGUUGUAUAAAUUAAUGCCUGUGCUACAAAAUACUUAAAAGUUGGUUUUGGGUUUUACAUUUGCCAUUUCUAUUGCCACUGCCAUUGCCAUUGCCAUUGCCAUAUUGCUAUUGCUUUUGCCUCCGGCCGUGACCUCGCAUGAACAACACACGGCAGCAUCGUUUAGCCUUUAGAUAUUUGGCUAUUACAAUAUUUAUAUAUACUAUAUAUACGUGAGUGUUUCUCUGUGAGUGUGUGUGUUUGUCUGUGUGUGUGUGUAUAUUGCAUUCGUUUACAAUUUUUCUGUCCUUUUUUUUGCUGUCAUAAUAUCACUUUAAACUAGACAAAUGGCGGCGCUUAGCGAACGAGGAUCGUACUCUCGUUGUUGUUACAUUUGUGGUUGCCUUUGUCGUGUCGUGUUCUUUGUCAUCCAGUUUAUCACAAUUGAGCGCCGUGUUCACAUUUACAUAUUCACAUUAUUACAGAGGUUAACAAUUUGUGCCAAUUGCGUUUUGAGCAAACAAUUUGACAUUGGUCGUACUUUUGGGUUGGUUUUACAAACAGUUCGGUUUGCAACACUUUCGUAUUUCCUUCUUUACAUCUUUAAACUUAGCUAACUAGACAAUCAAUUCGCUUAACAAUUGCUUGGUGUUUGUUGUGUUGUGGUGUCGUCUGAUGCUCACACUGGCUCGCGCUAGCUUUUGCUCGCUCGCUCUUUGUCGUGUUCGUAUUCGAAUUCGCAUUUUUUUUUUUUGCUUUUUCUUUGAAUCACAGUUCUUGUUGCUUAUAAAAUGAUGUUUUUCUAGCAGUUUUUAACAAACACAUUCUGCCCAUCUGCUUUACAUAAAUUACAUUGAU